rnacentral:rRNA from 1 species
CGACUACGAGUUUGAUCAGUGGCUCAGAUUGAACGCUGGCGGCAUGCUUUACACAUGCAAGUCGAACGGUAACAGGCCUUCGGUGCUGACGAGUGGCGAACGGGUGAGUAAUGCAUCGGAACGUGCCCAAUCGUGGGGGAUAACGUAGCGAAAGUUACGCUAAUACCGCAUGAGACCUGAGGGUGAAAGCGGGGGAUCGCAAGACCUCGCGCUAUUGGAGCGGCCGAUAUCAGAUUAGGUAGUUGGUGGGGUAAAGGCCUACCAAGCCGACGAUCUGUAGCUGGUCUGAGAGGACGACCAGCCACACUGGGACUGAGACACGGCCCAGACUCCUACGGGAGGCAGCAGUGGGGAAUUUUGGACAAUGGGCGCAAGCCUGAUCCAGCCAUGCCGCGUGCGGGAAGAAGGCCUUCGGGUUGUAAACCGCUUUUGUCAGGGAAGAAAUCUUCUGGGUUAAUACCUCGGGAGGAUGACGGUACCUGAAGAAUAAGCACCGGCUAACUACGUG